rnacentral:rRNA from 1 species
CCGCGUCAGAUUAGGUAGUUGGUGGGGUAACGGCCUACCAAGCCUGCGAUCUGUAGCUGGUCUGAGAGGACGAUCAGCCACACUGGGACUGAGACACGGCCCAGACUCCUACGGGAGGCAGCAGUGGGGAAUCUUGCGCAAUGGGCGAAAGCCUGACGCAGCCAUGCCGCGUGAAUGAUGAAGGUCUUAGGAUUGUAAAGUUCUUUCGCCCGUGACGAUGAUGACGGUAACGGGAGAAGAAGCCCCGGCUAACUUCGUGCCAGCAGCCGCGGUAAUACGAAGGGGGCUAGCGUUGUUCGGAAUUACUGGGCGUAAAGCGCGCGUAGGCGGUUUUGCAAGCCAGAGGUGAAAUGCCUGAGCUCAACUUAGGAAUUGCCUUUGGGACUGCGAGGCUUUGAGGACGGAAGAGGUGAGUGGAAUUCCCAGUGUAGAGGUGAAAUUCGUAGAUAUUGGGAAGAACACCGGUGGCGAAGGCGGCUCACUGGUCCGUUUCUGACGCUGUAGCGCGAAAGCGUGGGGAUCAAACAGGAUUAGAUACCCUGGUAGUCCACGCUGUAAACGAUGAGUGCUAGGCGUCGGCAGGCUUGCCUGUCGGUGCCGCAGCUAACGCGUGAAGCACUCCGCCUG